rnacentral:tRNA from 1 species
AACAAGACAGAAGAUAGUCAAUCUUACUGUCGCGCAUACCUGAAGCGGGUCUGCCGCCUUCGUUUCUCUUUCUUCGCGAAUGACUAACCUCCCUUUGGCUAUGCCCACAAGGCGUGCCUUGCCGGUGCAAAUGGUGCCAGCAGGGUUCGGUUUAGGGCUUGUAGCUCAGUUGGUUAGAGCGCGCGCUUGAUAAGCGUGAGGUCGGAGGUUCAAGUCCUCCCAGGCCCACCAUUAACAGUGCAACCCGAAGGGUUGUCGCUGCCGGUCACUACGAUCGGGAGGCUAUCAGGGGCCGUAGCUCAGCUGGGAGAGCGCCUGCUUUGCAAGCAGGAUGUCGUCGGUUCGAUCCCGUCCGGCUCCACCAACACGCGAUCCGCAGGAUCGCCCUGAAGGCUCGAUCAGAGAUUGAUGUCACAGUCAUUCCCACAUGAUCUUGCUGAGAUCUUAACUCUACAUGCCUGUUCUGUUCGAUCUCGUAUGAAUUAGAUUUGAUCUAACUUCUCGGUGCGUGAGCAGCGUGACUUGUCGCAGAGAAUACUCGUUCCAUUGCCUAUGACGGCUAAGACUAACAUCGCCCUCAAACCAAUCUCAAUCAGCUGGCCUUUUUGUG